rnacentral:rRNA from 1 species
AUGACCGCCGUCGGGAGCCGAUGCUGCACCUACUCCUUCGACACCAAACAGUGUGUGUGGAUGUGGCAUGGGGACUGGGCGUUGCCUUUCCAAGGCCAGGGCUGCUUCGACAUCGAGCUGGACACGACAUGUGCCAGGGAGCCGGACUGGAAGAUGGUCAAGGAGAAGCUGUUCCUCAAGGACCGGCGAAGCACCGCCACCCUCACCUACAUGGGUGACACCAAGUUUUGCCUUGUGGGGUGUGUGUUACGCGAGGGACUGGAGCUUCAGGAUGCCGUUGGCGACUCUGCUGGGUUCAUGCUCCAUAUCACCAUGUUCGGCCUCAAGUAUAGCCGUGAGGGCGAGCUGCAAACCACAAUCCACCGCACAGCUAAAUCCUAUCGGGUCUCUAAGCAUGGGAUGUUCCUCCUCUCUUGUCUACAACUCGCCUAUCUCUGUACCAGCUCUUGGUCUACAACUCGCCUAUCUCCAUGCUCGAGACGACCAAGCUCGAUGCGCAAGCCGCAUAUGUCUGCUAGAGCUAUAUCCAGGCCCUAUGAUUUUUGGAUCACUGGCACUAUGGGUGCCAGGACCGGAGUCGCCCUCAUCCACCAAGUGGAUCAAGGAGGCCCACCACCUAGACUCUACAUCGCAACAUUUUGUGUUUUCCUAUAA